UGAACGCUGGCGGCGUGGAUAAGGCAUGCAAGUCAAGGGGGCCCGCAAGGGCAACCGGCAGACGAGGUAGUAAUACGUAGGUACGCACCCUUUAGUCAGGAAUAACUAGUCGAAAGAUUAGCUAAUACUUGAUGGUCUCGAAAGAGUAAAGAUUUAUCGCUAAAGGAGCGGCCUGCGCAGUAUCAGCUAGUUGGUAAGGUAACGGCUUACCAAGGCGAAGACGCUUAGGGGACCUGAGAGGGUGACCCCCACCGAUGGAACUGAGAAACGGUCCAUACACCUACGGGUGGCCGCAGUCGAGAAUCUUCCACAAUGGACGAAAGUCUGAUGGAGCGACGCCGCGUGAUUGAUGAAGUCCUUCGGGAUGUAAAGAUCUUUUGUAGACUAGAAAGUUUAUUGAUCAGUCUAAGAAUAAGGAGUUGCUAAACUCGUGCCAGCAGCAGCGGUAAUACGAGUGCUCCAAGCGUUAUCCGGAAUCAUUGGGCGUAAAGGGUGUGUAGGUGGUAAUGUUAGUCUUCUGUUAAAUUCUUCGGCUCAACCGGGGGCAUGCAGGGGAAACGGCAUUUACUAGAGGAUGCGAGAGGCACAUGGAACUCAUGGAGUAGGGGUGAAAUCCGUUGAUAUCAUGGGGAACACCGAAAGCGAAGGCAAUGUGCUGGCGCACUCUUGACACUGAAACACGAAA
rnacentral:rRNA from 1 species